GAAAGAUUGUAUGGUAUCAACAGCUCAAAUAACAAUGGGGGCUUGUGGCCUUCCUGUAUUUCCAUCAAGAAAAUAAAUGUAUUUCCAUCAAGAACUCACUAUUACUUUUCUGGAAAAUACCAGUAAUUCAAGAGCUAAUAGUAACCGUGAAGAGCUUUCCCCAGGUGAGCAGUCAGGUUUUAUUCUAAAGCAGAAAAAUAUGAUUUCAUAAAACUUCAUUUAAGUCCCAUGCUCCGAAUCUUCAUGACUCUCAUCUUUCACAGAAAGGGAGAAUAAUGGGAAGGGAGCUAGCCCAUCUGCAUAAACUACUUACCCAGAACUCCUGAUGGGGUAAAACCACAGAGAAAUGCUCUCUGCUCUUAGUUAUUGGCACACAGAGAAAGUCAGCCCUCAAAAAGCUUCAACUGCAUCAACUUUCAGCUGAGCACUUCCCUACUGAUGCUUUUGAGCCACCACAACAGGAAGAACCAGAAGGACUCCAAACAAAGCGAAAGUUCUUCCAGAAGCUGAAGACCAUGAGAGAAAUUUUGGAUUAGCUCCAAGAGAGCCUGUUUUGUCACGGAACUAAAUGGAGCUGAAACAGCCAUCGUUGGCUGAACUGAGGGACAGGGCUGGGCAGUGUUCCCAAGAGGCUGAAGCCUCUCUGCAAGCCCUCUUGGGUGGUGCUACACAAUGAAAACAAUGCACCAAGCAGAGAGGUGGUAGCUAAAAGCAUACAUGCCUCCUGCAUGCGCUUUUUGGUGAGUGAGGAGUCAAAAUAAUGGACUAUUUCCAACACUAGCGCAAGGGAAUACAUUAUGUAUCAUCAGAAGCACAUUGCUGGGGGCAGGGUUGGGUUGAAGCUGUGUUUGGAUAUUAAUGGUAAUCUUUCUUCCCAGCCCCAAGAAUAUAGUGCUUGAAAGUGGGGAACAAUUAAAGUCUCUCAGGAUUUAUUGGUUCUAGAAAUCCUGGGUAGGGGCAUGAACUAAUGGUAUAUGAGGACCCUGAAAUAUGUUGAACUGGGUUUAUUUUUUCUGAUUAUUGCAAUCAACUAGGAGAGAGCUUAUAUGACUUGAAACUUUUAUUUCUUGCUAACACAUGUUCACACACACAAUGUCAUUUUGUUGAAUUGUUUCCAGAAAAUUAAUUAUUCUUUAGAAAGAUUUUGGCUUUCUCUGAGGACAGUUGCUACUUUUCUACAUUAGAGAAAUCUUUUGUCUUUGUUUAACAAA
rnacentral:lncRNA from 1 species